rnacentral:snRNA from 1 species
GGAUAUGAGGGCGAUCUGGCUGUGACAUCUGUCACCCCUUUGAUCAAUCGCCAGGGUUGAUUUGGCUGAUCUGGCUGGCUAGGCGGGUGUCCCCUUCCUCCCUCACUGCUCCAUCUGCAUCCCUCCCGAAGCUGCGUGCAGUCCAAGAGGAUGGCCUUCCCCGAAUAGAGACCCGCCCGACUUCGGUAGAGGGUAUAAGAGUAGCUGCGCUCCUCUGCUAGAACCUCCAAACAAGCUCUCAAGGUCCAGAUGGCCCUUGACAAAAUAAAAGGUUUAAGGGUAUACUCUGGAGCAAUCUAAUGGUUUCAAGAUGGUAAUCACCAGGUAACUGAUU